rnacentral:rRNA from 1 species
CUACGGGCUGCAGCAGUGGGGAAUAUUGCACAAUGGGCGCAAGCCUGAUGCAGCCAUGCCGCGUGUAUGAAGAAGGCCUUCGGGUUGUAAAGUACUUUCAGCGGGGAGGAAGGGAGUAAAGUUAAUACCUUUGCUCAUUGACGUUACCCGCAGAAGAAGCACCGGCUAACUCCGUGCCAGCAGCCGCGGUAAUACGGAGGGUGCAAGCGUUAAUCGGAAUUACUGGGCGUAAAGCGCACGCAGGCGGUUUGUUAAGUCAGAUGUGAAAUCCCCGGGCUCAACCUGGGAACUGCAUCUGAUACUGGCAAGCUUGAGUCUCGUAGAGGGGGGUAGAAUUCCAGGUGUAGCGGUGAAAUGCGUAGAGAUCUGGAGGAAUACCGGUGGCGAAGGCGGCCCCCUGGACGAAGACUGACGCUCAGGUGCGAAAGCGUGGGGAGCAAACAGGAUUAGAUACCCCCGUAGUC